GUGGCUCAAAGUAGGGCGCCAGCCCCAUACGCUGGAGGUACUGGGUUCAAACCCAGC
rnacentral:tRNA from 1 species